AACGAACGCUGGCGGCAUGCCUAACACAUGCAAGUCGAACGAGACCUUCGGGUCUAGUGGCGCACGGGUGCGUAACGCGUGGGAACCUGCCCUUAGGUUCGGAAUAACUCCCCGAAAGGGGUGCUAAUACCGGAUAAUGUCUUCGGACCAAAGAUUUAUCGCCUUUGGAUGGGCCCGCGUUGGUUUAGCUAGUUGGUAGGGUAAAAGCCUACCAAGGCGACGAUCCAUAGCUGGUCUGAGAGGAUGAUCAGCCACACUGGGACUGAGACACGGCCCAGACUCCUACGGGAGGCAGCAGUGGGGAAUAUUGGACAAUGGGCGAGAGCCUGAUCCAGCAAUGCCGCGUGAGUGAUGAAGGCCUUAAGGUUGUAAAGCUCUUUUACCCGGGAUGAUAAUGACAGUACCGGGAGAAUAAGCUCCGGCUAACUCCGUG
rnacentral:rRNA from 1 species